rnacentral:rRNA from 1 species
AUACGGAGGAUGCGAGCGUUAUCCGGAUUUAUUGGGUUUAAAGGGUGCGUAGGCUGUGCGUUAAGUCAGGGGUGAAAUGCCGUCGCUCAACGACGGAGCUGCCCUUGAUACUGGCGUGCUGGAGUACGGAUGCCGUUGGAGGAAUGAGUGGUGUAGCGGUGAAAUGCUUAGAUAUCACUCAGAACACCGAUUGCGAAGGCAUCUGCCGAAUCCUGCACGGGCGCGGAGGCACGAAAGCGUGGGGAUAGAACAGGAUUAGAUACCCUGGUAUUCCACGCCGUAAACGAUGAUGACUAACCGUCGGCGAUAGACAGCCGGUGGCCAAGCGAAAGCGAUAAGUCAUCCACCUGGGGAGUACGUCGGCAACGAUGAAACUCAAAGGAAUUGACGGGG